rnacentral:lncRNA from 1 species
AAAUUAUAUUAAUGGUGCAGAAAAUUCAUAUUAAUAUGCUGGAAAAUGCAAUAACAUGUUGGAAAUGCCUAAAAUCUAAUAUUUUAACAUGCAAAAAACUAUAUUAAUAGUGCAGAAAUUUCAUAUUAAUGUGCUGGACAAUGCAAUAGCAUGCUGAAAAUGCCUAAAAUCUAAUAUUUUAACGCGUCAAAACUUAGUUUUGACAUGCAUGAACUAUACUGUUUUUGGCAGGCAGAAAUGUAUUAACAGGCAGAAGUUUAAUGUUAACAUGCUUAGAUUUGUGUUUAAAUGCUAGAACAUUCGACGACAUAAUUAAUACCAAUUUUUAACAUCUAGGAGAUAUCAUUAAUAUGCAUACAAUUAAUUGUUAACAUGCAUACCAUAUUAUCAUGCUUAAAUAUUUACAUGCUGAAAACACGAAAUGACAUGAUCUGAGCGUCUAAACAUGCUAAAAAUGUAUUAACGUGCAAAAAUUAAUUAUUGACAUGCACAAUAUAAACAUGCUCAAAUUUAUUUUGAUAUGCCUAAAUUGUGUUAACAUACCGAAACAUAAUGACAUGUUAAUAAAUUGCAGUGUUUUAACAGGCAGAAAAUUAAUGUAGUAGGCCAACGUACUGAAAAAAUUACCAUGCUUAAAUUCAAUGUGGAUAUAUGUCAAAAGAGGUGUUAGCAUGCAUAAACUCAAUUUAAUAUGUCGGGUGUUAAUUAGAAAACCUUAACGCAAAAGUUCUAAGCGAAUCAAUUAAUAAAAAUGUCUAAAAGAUUCAUGUGUUAAUAAAUCCUACUUUUUGUGCCUAAAUGAUCCACGUAGCAUAUAACACACAUAAAAACCUAAGUUGUGCCUACCUACACUACCUACACUAUGUAAGUCCCCGCCCCCGAGCAGUCCUCAAAAUUAUUAUUACAAUAAUGAUGUCUUUACAGUAAUAUUACAAACCAAAUAAUACAAAAAAUGAGAAAGAAAAACAACUAGCUAUAAGGAAUAACAUAUUCAAUUUAAAUAUCCCAGCGACUCUUCGAAAUUCGUAAUCGUCUACUUAAACCUACGAGGCAAGAUAUAGUGGUAAAUAAAAGGUUGUUGAAGUAAAGCAAUCUCAGCAAUGAGAUGAACAGAACGCUUCCUUAAAACUCACAAAGAGAUGCCACACAGCUUUGAGAAAUAUGUCUUGGAAUAGCUAAUAAUUUUUGUUUUAGAAAGUAAAAGUAGAAAAAGGGAAAUCUCUCCUCCUCUAAUUGAAAAGAGAGGCCCUUUCUAUGGGAGAAGGGAUACCGGGUGAUAAAAGGAAGAAAUCAAUUCUCUAAAUCAAUUAGAAAAAUUGUUUUCCUUCAAAUCUCUAAAUCAAUUAGGAAAAUUGUUCCUUGAAUAAAUAUGGAAAAUCAAUUAGCUUGCAAAAUCAUGUCAUGAUUACCAUAAGAGAAAAAAAUAAGAAUCUAUACAAAUAUAAUAUUGAGAUUUCUCCUAAAAUAAACAAGUACUUUAAAAGGCAAAUAACAUAUGAGUGGGCAGCACUAAUACCCGCCCAAAACAAAAGAAUAAAAGUAAAACGUCCCUUAAUCAAGGGAUUGCAAUUACGCACAAAAUCAAAGUUACCAAAUAUAAUCGCAUAAAAUCAGAAUUUAAGCUUGUCAAAUAUGGUCUAUCAUGAAGAUUAAUCUACCACAAGACUGUUAUAAUUUCAAAUUCACACAAAUUAAGUGUUUAAAAACCAAGAGAGUAGGGAAAAUCAUAAUUACGGCUAGAUUUGAUACUACCUUAGUGAUAAAUUCAUAACAACUACACACAAGAGAAUCGUAAUUUUAAAAUUUGUCAGAUCAGCAUUCAAACCAAAAAUUAAGCGAAUUUUAAAGUCUAUGAAUGUUAACAAGAGCAGAUCACCAAAAACUAAACCAAAAAUUUCAAUAACUCCAGUCAAUUUCAGACACCAGAAGUUUUCGACACAAAACAAAAGAAGAAUAAAGUAGAAAUACCAACUUGAGACGGAUUCAUAUGUGUGAACCCGUCAUGUUUUUAACAAUUUCUGGCGAGGAAUGGGUCGUGGAGGGAAAGAAAAACCUAAUCGAUGGCGGCAUGUGGACGCACGGAGAGCAUCAGCGGCGGCUGCAUGGUUAGCCGGAGGAGCCUGAGCUAGCCGAUCGUGGUGGCGGCUAUGGGGAUGGUCUCGCCGGACGCGUGGCUGGCGAGGCGGCUGCGGGGGUCGUCGUUGGUCUCCGGCGUUGGGAUAGGAGGCGGCAUACACGGCUGGGGACUGGACGUUGUUGUUUUCUGUUGGUGGCGCCGGUGGAGCAGCUAUCAACGAUGGCAGACCUCGCCGGAGCGGGAGAAAGGGGAGACGGCAGAUGCUCGUUGCUGUCCAGAGGCUGGCGGUGGUUUCGCCGGGGAAGGAGGAUGAGAGGGGAGAGGAGGAAAGAGAAGGGCGGGCGGUGGAGCGGCGGCAACAGCCGUCCCCCGGAGAGUAGCGGCUGCAGCAGCCGUCCCCCGGAGAGGAGCGGCGGCAGCAGCCGUCCCCCGGAGAGGAGAGAGAGGAGAGAAGAGAGAGAGCAGUUAGAGAGAGAGG